rnacentral:rRNA from 1 species
CAGCAGCCGCGGGAAUACGUAGGUCCCGAGCGUUGUCCGGAUUUAUUGGGCGUAAAGCGAGCGCAGGCGGUUAGAUAAGUCUGAAGUUAAAGGCUGUGGCUUAACCAUAGUACGCGUUGGAAACUGUUUAACUUGAGUGCAAGAGGGGAGAGUGGAAUUCCAUGUGUAGCGGUGAAAUGCGUAGAUAUAUGGAGGAACACCGGUGGCGAAAGCGGCUCUCUGGCUUGUAACUGACGCUGAGGCUCGAAAGCGUGGGGAGCAAACAGGAUUAGAUACCCCCGUAGUCCCUGUCUCUUAUACC